AAAAAUAAAAGCGAAUUCCAGCUCCGGUUGCAGCUAAAGAAGGGCGAGAGGGGACAGUUUGCGCUGGGACAGCGUCCGCCGGGGCUCCUGACUCGCAUCACACCCGCAUCGGGCUGGGAAAGUUUCCUCUUUCUGCCUGUUGGAAUUCACUUGAGAUUCCCAGCCCCGAGGAUUGGAGAAGCUUCCUGGAUACAGUGAUGCUGGGGCCAAACUGGGCACAUAUGGGAAUUCCUGGCGUUGUGACGCUUUGCAUUAAAAAAAAAAAAAACCGCAAACUAUUUAAGAUAGGAGCAGAGCACUAGAUAUAGGACUUAGCCUGAGCGACUGCCCCAUCUUCCUCUUUUCGCCUCUCUUUGGUGGGCCUUGGUGCCAGAUGCUCGCCCCUCCCACAGUCCAGACGGAUUCCGGGCUGGGCUGCAGGGAUCCAGGUGACUGACUGGACAUGCAUCGUUUCCAGGUGGGGGGCUGGGAGGCCCAGGCAGCCCUGAGUCAGCCCGCCGAGGAGCAUUGCGUGCCCCAGAGGCUGGAGCUUGAAAGGCAACUUUACGCGUCUCCAAACAUACUCUUCCAUUUUCCCAAAGCGCUACUCGCCACCCCAUUCUGGUUCCCUUUACUCUUCAUUCAUCGGAUGGAAAAGGUCAAACAAUUCUCCCCAAACCCUAAAAACAAAACUCGAGGAAAUUCUCUCCGUCUCUUUUCCUUGUUCGAGCUCCCUCCCCAAGCACGGCCGGGGCUGGAUUGCCCCCGACCGCUUUCUCCCCCGGCCUGCGGAAGCAGGGAGAAAGUUGGGCGCCGCUCGGAGCGCCUCUUCCCCCGCUGUGUGUGUACGUGUGCACGCUCACGUCUCCCCGGCGCCUGGGCUGGGGACAGGAACUGCUCCGGGCACCGUCAGUCCGACGGCGCUGCUCUGGGGGCUUGCAGGGCUGGGGGAGGGCGGGGACGCGAGCGCCGCGCCACUCACCCCGGGUUGACGCUUCCUCGCCCCUCCCCCGCCGUCUCCAUCCUCCUCCAGGAGAACAGGGCGCAGAUUUGAAAUGUAUGUCCAGCGACCAGUGAAGACCUCCGGCUCAACAGAGAAAAAUGGAAGCUUUGGUCCCCAGCCGCUCCGGCGAAGAACCAAAGAUCACUGUGGUCUGAUUUUUACAGACUCCGUACCACUGUUGCAGCCUGUGAUUCUGAGGUGCAAAAUUGGCCAGCCCAGAGAGGGGAGAACUGCUCCUCUGUUAGCCGGCUGCCGUCACAGCGCCUGGGACGUGUGUCAGGAUUCCCUGGGAAGGAUACCUCACCUGGCCAGGGCAGAAUGGACCAGUUGCUUCGGCUUUAAUUUCCGGCGCUUUACAAAGGCUGAGCCGAAGGCUGCACCGCCAGAAGCUUGGAAUUUGCCUGGCCUGCUGGAUGGAGAGAGUCUGAAUCGGAUUCUGGGGGCUUGGAAAGACAGUCAAAAGACUCUUCCCUUCCCUGAAAUAGCCACGCAUUUGUUUAAAGACUUGAAACCAUUCUGAUGCUGGAAUUUCCCUCUGUGUUUAUUUUCACAUCUGGGUGAUGGUCUUCUGCCACUGGAGGACUUUUAAUGAAUCACUUUAGAGAUUGCUUUUAAUGUUUCCCAGAUGAGAGGGGCUGGCACUUGUCUGUUUCCUGAGGCCUGACAGGGCAGGACCGACCGGGCUUCCCGGCUGGCCGCCUGGAGCAGCCCCUUGGGGGGAGUGGACAGGCAUUUCUUGUCUUUCUGGGAAAACUGCUCCUCAGAGCUCCUGAUCCCCGGGCUCUCUUUCCACACGAGGAGGGGGAAAAGGUGGAAUGGAAUAUAAAUAAAAGAGAUAGACUAGUUUUAACUGGUCCAAGAUGUUACGGGCUGCGCUCUCGGUAGCCACUGGCAGCCGGCACCCCUCUGUGCUCCCAGGCUCUGGUUUGCGGUGUCACGGGCUCCAAGAGACAAGGCUGGUUGGGGUCGCUUCCAGAGGGCAGCCUGGGAAGCUCAGGAAGGUGUUGGCUCAGCUCAGGAGUCAUUGGCUGCCAGGUGCCUUCUGAUGGAAGCCUGUUCCCAGGGCCCAGCGGUGGCCAGGGUCUCUAUGACCACGUCAGGUCCAUGGUUCCCGUUCACUCUUAGCCUGACAGACAAGCUCCAUUGCAGUCGCAUUUCUGCUCCGUGUCCCUCUGUCACGCCCCCCUCCGCCCCCCAUACUCCAUGUUCCAGCCACAUCUCAUACAUUCUUUUGGGUGCUUUCUAGUUGUCCCCACCCCAGAGCCCCCUGCACCCUCCUCUGCCCAGCUCUGAGCCCCAGGAGUCAGACCGCUAGGGGUGCCUCAUCCAGGCUCCCCUGCCUCGCCCUCUGGCUUCCUGCUGGUGUGGGCCUAUGGGGAGCCCCACAGCAGCUCUGGGGGUAGGGGAAGGGGAGAGAGAGGUGGGGGGAUUUAUUCCUCUGGCUCCCCUGCUGUGAGGUCAUCUCAGGUUGGCUGCGUGACUUAGAAGUCUCGCACCCUCUUAAGGUGGGCUUCUCUACAUAGUUUUCUCUUUCUGCAUCUGGGUAACUGCUGCCUUCCUUCAUCCUUUUGGGUCCAGGGGUGGUACAGAACCUGGAAUCCCGCACUACCUUUUGUGGUUUUCCUGUAUCUUGUCCACACUUUUGUCAAUAGUCUGUUUGCUAAAUCCUUCUUGAAUUCUCUUAUUUGAGUGUUCCUGCUGGAACUCAGACAGAGGUAGAUAGAUAGAUAGAGAGACAUAAUGUUAUUUUAUAUACCUGUACCCCUUUCCCAUGUUUAUUCCCUCUACAAGAAUUCCCUUCUUCACCUUGGCUACCUGAUGAACUGCUUCUCAUCCUUCAAAAUCCCACUGAAACAUCACCUCUGAAGCCUAUCUUGAGUUCCCCAUUAGAGUUCAUGACUUCCCCCUUGGCCUUCUAUCUCUCUAUGUGGUGUCAAUCAUGUCCAUAUACUUAACACCUCCAUCCUAACCACUUGCUAAUCAGACAUGUCCAAACUUUCCCUCACCAAAAUUUUACUAUGUUUAAUUCCUUCAAAAUCUGAUAAAGUGACUGUCUAAAGGGCCUGCUUCAAUGCCUGGCCCAGGCAUAUAGAUGCUCAAUAAAUAAUAGCUAUUAUCAGAAAACAUCAUACUGAAGUGUGAAUGGCUAUGUGUUUUAAUGCAUUAUCUCUUCCAGGAGCAGCUUACAUUUAUAAGGGAUUUUUUGGAGUUAAAAGAACCUCCGAUGAAUCUCUAA